UUUGACAGCCAUAUGACCCUGCAGUCCAAGACUGGUAACUCACUGAAGCUAAACAGGAUGAGCCUUGUCAGUACCUGGAUGGAAGACUGCAUAGGAAAACUAGGUUGCUGUUGGAU
ensembl:rRNA 5S_rRNA 5S ribosomal RNA